CAGCGUUCUUUCAUCCCAUUGGUCAGUAAGGAGGGACUCGGUUUCAACUGAACUACAGUUCCCCAAGUGGUUGCAAGGUACACACUAUAGAUCUAGGGGAUUUGUGUCGUUUUUUGAAAUGUGAAAAAGUGCAUCUAAGACUAUUCGGUAGGCAGCGUCACGCAAAGCUACGAAGCGAUAAAAUGUACCCAAAGCCUUAGAGCCUUGUGGGCUUUACUGACAUCUGCAAGCCAGGAUGAACCAAGGCCGUAAAGACCAGUGAAGACCCCUAAGUGGAAGAACACAGCGGGAGGGACUGAGACCCUCGCUUGGUCCCCAACUCUCUGGAGACCAAGGGCAGAAGGAGUCACCCGCUCCUCUGAGCACUCUCCUUGAUGGAGGACACCCACUGACCGGGCUGGGAACUGUGUGUGACGUUUAAUUGGCUAAUGUCUGGAGAACGCUUUGAAGAUGAAAAGUACCAGCCAGCAGUCGGACCCUCGUCUUACAAGCGAGGAUACCAAGGCAGGACUGGGAUGGGAAGCGACGGUCCGGGAAGCGACGGUCCGUGGAGUUGUAGGUCAGCAUCUUCCAGCAAAGAACUGCAAAGAGUCCAAGGGUCAGACCUUCUUGGUUGUUUGGAGUUUAGCCGUGUCAUGAUAGGUGAACGGAAUGUGUUUAAGAGCGUGUGGAUUUGAUUUAUUGCUUUUAAUUAUCGAGGCUCACGGUUUGCUGGCCUCUCUUUGUACUCCUGUCCUGAGUAUAAAACUACCACAGCGAGCCAGCCGAUUGCCUCAGGAGAUGCCUUCUCUUGGUGACCGGCCAAAGACUAUCCCUGUUCAUUGUGGUCUCUCAUUAUUUACUUCUUAGGGUUCUGUGGUCCCCGGCCUCCUGCAGCAUGGGCUCUGCCUCUCUUUCUCAGCUCCAUCCAAACUGCCACAACUUUCUGCCCUUUGGCUGUUGUAUGCAAAGGCCAGGAUGGUGACAUUCUCGGGUCAACGUGUGAGGGGCAUAUCCAUUUAUUUUAUUGUUGUGGAGCAAACCAUCCCAAAAUAAUGGCAUACAGUUGCGGCCCUUACAUCCUGACAUUUAUGAACAGCAAUUUGAGCACGAGAAGUCAGUGGUCUCAGCUCCAAACUGUCUGCUGCCUUGAGUGGGAAGUCUGGAGAGCAAAAGAUGCUUGCCACCUGGGCCAGAGAUCAUCUAAAGGUAUCCCACACACCAAGAGGGAGACAACAACUGUCAGUUGGGACUUUGACUGGGUUGUUGAUCAACACGUGGCUCUCUAUGUGGUCUUUCUACAUGGGCUAGUGUGGACUUCCUCAGAGCCUGGCAGCUGGGUUUCAUGGGUCCUGAGAACAAGCAUCUCCAGACAGCAGAGUGGACACAUGUGGUCAUUUCAUGCUCUGACCUCAGAAGUCACAUAGCACCAUGCUGCCUUAGGCUACUGGUCGAGGGAGUGAAUACAGGUCUUCCCAGACAUAAGAGAAGGGACAUGGGCCCCCGCAGUUCCAUAAAGAAGAGCAUAUGAGAUGGAAGCUUUUGUUGGGUCACUUCUGAAAGACAAUUUUCCAUAGAGAAGAAAGAGAAUGGAAAGACCACCAAAUGACACACUGGUCUGCACCAGGAGCUCUGUACUUAACCAUAUCUCGUCCGGAGAUGCUUAGCUCUGAAAACUUAAGGAUGUCCUCUUCUAUUAGUGCUUAUGGGUAAAGAUAAGAGAUCAUCCUACAUCCCAAAGGACCCCUCUCUUAAAUUCUCUCAUAAAACGAGACCUCAUGAAGUGCUGGAGACAAUGGAAAACUCUGGGUUACAGUUUCAACAUUUCUAGAUUUCUGCCUGUAUAUGUAUUUGCUGGAGCAUUAGACUUCAAUGGGAGAGCCUUCGGGUCCCUCUUUCCCUUGGUGUGGUGGCCUUGAUGACAACAUUGGCUCUUUUUACUCUAGCAGAACAUGCUGUUUUGACCAGAGGUGUGAAUCUAUUUGUCUUCACCGCAGAUAGGGCACCAAAGACGAUGCUAGAACGUAAUUCUACUUGAGGCUAGCUCAGUGAACGGACGAGCUAUUGAGAUGCCUUACAGAAGCAGAGGUGACUCAAAGGUAACUGCAUCGUCAAAAGCGCCAGCCCAGCAUGGGCAACAACCCAUGAAAGCUGUCACCCCGGAGCUCCCUUCCUGGCUUGCAGGCAGCUCCACCAAAGGAAGUGUCUACUCUUCUUUUUUUUUUUUCUUUUUUCUUUUUUUUUCCGGGGCUGGGGACCGAACCCAGGACCUUGCGCUUCCUAGGCAAGCGCUCUACCACUGAGCCAAAUCCCCAACCCCGGAAAUGUCUACUCUUAUGGAACUGCAGGGAGGAUCCCAGUGGAUCUUGUGACCUUCUAGCCCACUGGGGGUCUGUAAGUUUUAUGAGUGUCCUUAGUCUUCUAAGCUACCUUCCUCCCUCGAAGAAUGUUUUGAUUUGGUGGAAAGUGAUUCCACAGCACCUGCCGUGCCUUUGAGGGCCUUAAAGUGAAAUAAAUUGGAAAGCAUGGGUGUUGUUAUGUCAGGACGUUAUGACUUGAGGAAGCGUUUAUUACCCCAGUAUCACUAGUCUCUCCUAAAUGACACGGGAGGAGAGACAGACGGAACAUUCAGGCCUCUCCAAGGAGCAUCAUGAAAGACCAAAGGAAGAGCGGUUGGGAGAAUGACGUGUCCUCUGUCCCAGAGACCAUGGGCAAAUCUGUUCAGGAAGAGAGGCCGGAAUUCAUUAGCAAGAAGAUGUUAUAAACGAAGUCUUCUUAACUGUGCCUGAGAUGUUCAGGCCCAAAGGACAGUAGCAGCCCUUCAGCUGUGAUAAUCAAAGAUGCCUUCGUCAUUUAUAUCCAACUUAUGGGUCUUAUGAAGCUGCAUACAGCCUUGCUCAGGCAACCGGAAUGCCUGGGAUACAAUCAGAGAAGGGCAGAAGUUCUCGAGGUGAAGGAUUUGGGGGUUUGCAUACCACAGUUCAAAGCCAUCAUGGUUGCAGAUGUCCUGGUGUGAAUCAAAAGGAAGAGUCAUCAACUUGGCUGCAGUGAGGCAGCAGAGGACAGAUGCUGAGGGGGAUGACACUGAGAGGUCCUGUGGGCCCUGCUCCUGAUCUCUCUGGCAUAUGGGCAGGAUCUAUACAUGGCUUUUAGUCCGUAGAACAAUGCUUCAUCUCACCGGGGGAUACUUGAUAUUAUGUAAGGAUCGUUCUUGCUCUGAGCCUAUUGCCUUAACCCCUAGCUAUGAUGAAAAACCCUUUAGUACUUAAGGACAGUCCAACCCUACAAAGGAUUGGCCACAAGUCAUAGGGUUAAUUUUUCAAAAUUAUUCAUGAAUCCUGAAUGGUUUUGAAGACUGGAUUUACCAAAUUUGAAUACCACUUCGUCCUGAUUUGGGUACUUGAUUUUUGUUUAUGCCCUUGUUUGGUUUUGUUUUGGGGUGGGUCUCUCCAUGGAGUCCUGACUGGCCCAAAAUUCACAAUAUAGACGAAAUUCACUAUGUAGACCAGGCUGCCCUUGAACCAGCAGUGAUCGUCCUGUUUCUACCUCCUGUGCUGGAAUUAGAGGCAUGUGUCGCCAUGUCCAGUUGACUUCCCAGUUUUAAAAUGACAGAUCUCGCACCUAAAGAAUGUUCUUACUCCAGAAAAGCUGGGGCAACUGAUCCCCAGGUAGAAACACAACUGUUCCGUCAUGGAUCUCCCAGUUCUGCUGCUUACUGACCUGCGGGUGCCCUUGAGAAGACAGC